rnacentral:lncRNA from 1 species
UUCAACGGUCGACACCGCCGAAGUCGAAUAGUAGGAGCAGACCUUCAAAUCCCCUUAACGACGAAGGAAUCCGACGGGAUCUAAAAACAGAUCUGGAAAAUCGAUCCCGCCAUAAACCCUAAAAGCCGACCACACCUCCACUGAACCUUGAGUCCUCCUCACCACAGCACCAGAAAAAGUAUGUGGAGCCAGAGAGAGACGCUCCUUGCGCACGGAGCACUCUCCGGAGCCACGUACCAAACCCAGGACAGCGAGCAUAUCAGAGGGAAGAGACAGACAGAGGAGCAGCAAAGGAGAAAACGAGGGAAGGGAGAGAGGCUCCUCCAGCGCCGGCACGCGCGCGGACGCACCUCCGGACACCGGAGAGAGAGCAGUGACGCGUCUGAGCUUUGUUGGUCUUGAGAGAGUUUGGAUAGAUGAGAGAGAGACUGCAACCGAAAAUGUCAGAUCUUUUUUUUUUUUUUUUUUUUUGCUUACUUUUUAAAAACGGACAAGUCAUAACAAUGAUUAUUAUUCGAGUACCUGCCAUUUACAUUUUAAUAAAUUCUGCAAUCAAA